GAUGAACGCUGGCGGCGUGCCUAAUACAUGCAAGUCGAGCGAACAGACGAGGAGCUUGCUCCUUUGACGUUAGCGGCGGACGGGUGAGUAACACGUGGGUAACCUACCUAUAAGACUGGGAUAACUUCGGGAAACCGGAGCUAAUACCGGAUAAUAUUUCGAACCGCAUGGUUCGAUAGUGAAAGAUGGCUCUGCUAUCACUUAUAGAUGGACCUGCGCCGUAUUAGCUAGUUGGUAAGGUAACGGCUUACCAAGGCAACGAUACGUAGCCGACCUGAGAGGGUGAUCGGCCACACUGGAACUGAGACACGGUCCAGACUCCUACGGGAGGCAGCAGUAGGGAAUCUUCCGCAAUGGGCGAAAGCCUGACGGAGCAACGCCGCGUGAGUGAUGAAGGUCUUCGGAUCGUAAAACUCUGUUAUUAGGGAAGAACAAACGUGUAAGUAACUGUGCACGUCUUGACGGUACCUAAGCAGAAAGCCACGGCUAACUACGU
rnacentral:rRNA from 1 species